UUGCCAAAUCGUUUUGCAAGCGAAGCAAGACGUUGUCAAAUUGAUUGCACUAACUUAAUUCCUGUUCUCUCUUAUUCGCUGUUGGCCAGACAUGAAAAGUAAACAAACGAAAAACGAGCAUUUGUGGGUUCUAACUUGCCUAGCCUUUGAUCACUUUCAGAUGUCAAAUUAGUCAGUAUCAGUUACUUUGCACCUCCCUGUAAAAAUGUAUAGGCAGUUAUUAUUUGGUAUUGGUAACUUUUUGGUGAUGACCAAGAAAGCUCACUUGUUAAUUUUUCAAUAAUUGCUUUUUUUAUCUAGUAAAUGUGUAUUUCACGGAGAUGACGAAUAUUUUUUGGUAUACCCGACUUAGUCGUCCGUGGAUGCUAAGGGUUGUCACUAGGUGGCAAAAAAUGUCCAUGUGUUUAGGGAUUGAACUAUUCAGCUCUAGUGUGUUCAUAAUUCUAGAAUCUAGAUGGAUGUAGGACUGUAGGAGCAUGGUAGGAGUGUGGGUCAUCAAAGUCAAACUGUCAAAGUGCUGAGACGACUGACAUUUAUAUUUUAUUCUUCUCUAUUAUUUAUUCUCUUUAUUCCGAGACGCCGGCCGAGAAGGGUUACUUUACACUCUAGUCAUUGCUGGGUACUUUAUUCUGAAAUUGUUCGUCAAAAUAAGUCUAAUGGAGUCUGAGCUUCUUCAUGCGUUACGUCCACGUUAUGGCCGACUUGUCAUGAAGAUGGGUCUUAAAAGGGGUCUCUACAUAUUGAAAGACAAAUGAGAUGAAAAGAGGAAAUCUGAAAAGGAUUCCUUCAUCAGUUAAGUGGUUGAUCUGUGAUUGUGUUUGGUGUGCAGUGGGUCUCUACAAUAUUGCAUGAAAAAAAUGUGAUAAUCCUGAAAUGGAUUCAUUCAUCAGUUUGAUGUAGAAGCUGUUAAUGGUGUUAUCUGGUGUACAGUGGUUUAGCUGUCAUUUCCCAGUUGAGAGCUGCCCUGAAGUGUUGAACUGUUGUGCAAAAUAGUCGAUGUUGCCUAGUGGCGGUCGGGCAUAUUUUAUCGGCUCCUUAUGUCGAUGUGUCGUCUCUUGCCACCUGUACCCACGUUGAGUUCAACCGUUCACCGCCGUUUCAUAGACUUGAUCCAUCUCUCCAAACCCCUGAUUGAACUAAUAAGCCGUAAUUUUACUCUGCUUAAAAGGCGUCCAACCAAAAAUUAAGUUGUAAAGGGAGAGAAGGUGCGAUAGGAAUCAGUCGAUGAGCAUCUCCGACACGGCAACAGCAUCUGCAGUAUACUAUUUGUAACCAACUGGAAUACCGGAUGUCGUAUUACCAGUCCGCAAUCAUGGUUAACUACGUUGUCGUGCUGCUGUUGGACAUCGUAUCGGUGAUGGCUCGGUCGACCACUGUCCACUGGUGUAUCGAUGUUUCCUGGGUAUGGUGAAUACCAAGCACCAGCAGCGAAAGAAUAGUGCACCACGUCGCCGCCGUACUACACAACAAUGUCUUGAUACGCAACACAACUUACUGCACUCUCAAGUACUAAAUCAACAAGCUCCAAAAUACAACACGAAAACUUGCGCUGCCCCUGAUCUGUUGUACUGAAAUCUUACUCUGUCCUGAGUAACAUCACGUAAGCGCCUGAGUAUUACACUAAGACUUCCAAGUUCUAUACAUCAAAGCUCCAAGCUUAUUUCACCAUCAAAGCGGUAUAUACCGAAGAGUUUAAGUACUACACAACCUACUGCAGCACACUAUUUGUCACCAACUGCCUUUUUCAUCGUAUUAAAUCGGUUUCCAAUCAUGGAUAGCGCUGACAUGUGUUGUUUUGUUGAAGGCUGGAUCGACCAUGGAUGUACUGAUGUCUCCUGGAUAUGGCUGAUAUGAAAUCACCACACUGCCAUACUUCACAACAACGAGGUCUCCAAGUACUACACCACUGUGGGACGGAAUACUACAAGAUUAUGUAUGCUGCUCCUUUCUACUACACCAAUACCCCUAAUCCCCUACUGGUUGUCUACUGAAAUAAUAUGUUUAAUUUGUGUUUCAUCCGUGAGUGUAUAAUUCAUUUGAUGAUAUUCUGUUGCCCAAUGUGGCGUGUUGCAGCCCAGGUUGCGAUUGGUGAAAGUUCUUUGACAUGAAGUUAAAACUGCGGUUGUCUCAAGCGAUGUUAAGAUUAUUUACUGUAUACUGGAAUCUUAAACCUUAAAUAACAUGUCGAAUUUUG
rnacentral:lncRNA from 1 species